rnacentral:rRNA from 1 species
GAUGAACGCUAGCGGCAGGCUUAACACAUGCAAGUCGAGGGGCAGCGAGAGAGUAGCAAUACUUUUGUCGGCGACCGGCGGACGGGUGCGUAACGCGUAUGCAACCUACCUUAUACAGGGGGAUAACCUUUCGAAAGGGAGACUAAUACCGCAUAACAUUACUUUGAGGCAUCUUGAGGUAAUUAAAUCUUCGGAGGUAUAAGAUGGGCAUGCGUAGCAUUAGAUAGUUGGUGAGGUAACGGCUCACCAAGCCGACGAUCGGUAGCCGGACUGAGAGGUUGAACGGCCACAUUGGGACUGAGACACGGCCCAGACUCCUACGGGAGGCAGCAGUGGGGAAUAUUGCACAAUGGGGGAAACCCUGAUGCAGCGACGCCGCGUGAAGGAUGAAGGUCUUCGGAUCGUAAACUUUUGUCUUCAGGGACGAUAAUGACGGUACCUGAGGAGGAAGCCACGGCUAACUACGUG